CGCGUAGGCGGUUAUAAAAGUCGGAUGUGAAAUACCGGGGCUCAACCCCGGUGCUGCAUUUGAAACUUUAUGGCUAGAGUUCAGUUAGGGUAAACGGAAUUCCACGUGUAGCGGUGAAAUGCGUAGAUAUGUGGAAGAACACCGGUGGUGAAGACGGUUUACUGGGCUGAUACUGACGCUGAGGCGCGAAAGCAUGGGGAGAAC
rnacentral:rRNA from 1 species